UUGGGGGCGCUCCCAUAUGGUCGACCUGCAGGCGGGCGCGAAUUCACUAGUGAUUAGAGUUUGAGCAUGGGUCAGAACGAACGCUUUCGGUAUGCUUAACACAUGCAAGUCGAACGGAUUUAUUUAGAGCUUGCUUUAAAUAAAUUAGUGGCAGACGGGUGAGUAACACGUGGGAAUCUGCCCAUCAGUACGGAAUAACAUUUAGAAAUAAUUGCUAAUACCGGAUAUUCUCUUUGGAGGAAAGAUUUAUCGCUGAUGGAUGAGCCCGCGCCAGAUUAGGUAGUUGGUAGGGUAAUGGCCUACCAAGCCAAUGAUCUGUAGCUGGUUUGAGAGAAUGAUCAGCCACACUGGGACUGAGACACGGCCCAGACUCCUACGGGAGGCAGCAGUGGGGAAUAUUGGACAAUGGGCGAAAGCCUGAUCCAACAAUGCCGCGUGUGUGAAGAAGGCCUGCGGGUUGUAAAGCACUUUCGGUAGGGAAGAAGGCCUUAGUGUUAAUAGCACUAAGGAUUGACAUUACCUACAGAAGAAGCCCCGGCUAACUCUGUGCCAGCAGGCGAGGUAAUACGAAUCGAAUUCCCGCGG
rnacentral:rRNA from 1 species